CACUAGUCACCCCCUCACUCUAGUGACAGAGUGAGGGACGGGGUGACUAGUGACAGAGUGAGAGAGAGGGUGACUAGUGACAGAGUGAGGAAGGGGCUGACACAGUGACAGAGUGAGGGAGGGGGUGACUAGUGACAGAGUGAAGGAGGUGGUGACUGUCACUAGUCACACCCUUCCCUCCCUCACUCUGUCACUAGUCACCACCUCCCUCUGUCACUACUCCCUCCCUCCUUCUGUCACUAGUCACCACCUCCCUCUGUCACUACUCAAUCCCUCCUUCUGUCACUAGUCACCCCCUUUGUCCCUUACUCUGUCACUAGUCACCCCCUAACUCACUCUGU